AUUAACGCUGGCGGCGUGCAUAACACAUGCAAGUCGAACGAUGAAACUUAACUGAUUUCUUCGGAAUGAUUUUAAGUGGAUUAGUGGCGGACGGGUGAGUAACGCGUGAGUAACCUGCCUUGGAGAAGGGGAUAGCCUUUGGAAACGAAGAAUAAUACCCUAUGAUAUGAUAAUAUCUCAUGAUAUUAUCAUCAAAGAUUUAUCGCUCUAAGAUGGACUUGCGUCUGAUUAGUUAGUUGGUGAGGUAACAGCUCACCAAGGCAGCGAUCAGUAGCCGGCUUGAGAGAGUGUACGGCCACAUUGGGACUGAGACAAGGCCCAGACUCCUACGGGAGGCAGCAGGGGGGAAUUUUGCACAAUGGGGGAAACCCUGAUGCAGCGACGCCGCGUGAUUUAGAAGGCCUUCGGGUUGUAAAAAUCUUUUGUAUGGGAAGAAAAUGACAGUACCAUACGAAUAAGGACCGGCUAAUUACGUG
rnacentral:rRNA from 1 species